rnacentral:lncRNA from 1 species
GGUUACCAUUUCCUUCUCCAGCGGAUCUUCCCGACCUGGGGAUCGAACCCGUGUCUCCCGCAUUGCGGGCAGACGCUUUACCGUCUGAGCCACCAGGGAAUCGCAUCUAUUUACUUAGCGGUUAUAUUUUUAAAAUAGUUCUUUAAAUAAGCACUGGAGGCAUGUUUAGAGAAUUCACAUAGAAAAGAAGCGUAGCGCAGAGUGAAUUUCUUACCCACCCUUAUUCCCAGAGGCCACGGUUAAUUGUAUCUCCUUUCGGAGAGAUUCGAAGUCAAUGACAAAUCUUCCUUACUACGGACAAUACUAUAGAAAAAAGAUUCAAGGGCACAUUUCUUUGGCCAAUUGUGCAGGCUUAUGUAGGAUGAAUUCCUAGAAGUGAAACUUCCCAGAAUCCACGGGGGAAAGACCUGUGUAUUUUAAUUUGGAGAGAGAUUGUCAAACAGAUUGAACUGACUUGGAAAAGACUGUGAAGCUGGGAAAGUUUGAAGGCAAAAGAAGAGGGUGGCCGAGGAUGAGAUGGUUACAUAGCAUCACCGACAUAACUUUGAACAAACUCUGGUAGAUCGUGGAGGACAGAGGAGCCUGGCGUGCUGAAGUCCAUAGGGUCACAAAGAGCCGAACACAACUUAGCGACUGAACAGCAUCAAUUGUUAAGUUGUUUUUCAGUGAGCUUCUGCCAAUAAUGCUCUAAUCAGCUGGUUUUCCCACAACCUUUGCAACCUCAAUGGCAUCACAGUUUCCUGUACAUGUACUUUCAAAGUUUUAAAUCUUGCCUAAUCUGUAGGUUCUGCCUAAGACUCAGAAAACCAGCAUGUUUUACUCACGGAAAUGUUCUCUUAAGCUAUGUUAAUGCAACUGUGUAUUUGCUUGGAAAUCUGCCUUUCUUCAAGAUUCAAGUCAAUUUUUUUUAAGGAAUUUAUUUGGUCGCAAGAGGUCUUCGUUGAGGCGUGUGGAAUCUAGUUCCCUGACCACGGACUGAACCUGGGCCCCCUGCAUUGGAAGCAUAGACUCUUAACCACUGGGCCACCAGGGAAGUCCCCAUGUCAACUGUUGUAUGGCCUGGGAUGACUCACCUUGUGCCAGUGUUAUCGCAAAAUGCAUGUUGUGGGUGAGGGGCCGGGUGCCACUCUGAGUUUUCAGACAUUUCCUUUUCUCUAAUUAGCAGCUUACUAAUAGGUAUAUAACUUCUUGCUGAAAACUAGCAAGUUAAUAAAACUUUAUUACACAAAAUUUCUGAGCGGUCAAGCCUUGUCACUGGCUCUGGAUCAAAUUCAUCUCCUCCAGAGGCCAAGAAUCCCGGCGUCGUUCAUAGCUCAAAAGAGACAACUUUUCAACCCUUCCUACAGGCUGACCUCCAGGCAUGGGCCCACUCCUCCUCAACCCUCCAGACCUUACCUUGACUCCAUAGGAAUGUGUUUGGCUCUGACUCCAUCAGAUUGGGAGUUCUUGGGGCCCCUAUGGGCCCUGCCUUGUCCAGUGUGAAGUAGGUACCUG